rnacentral:rRNA from 1 species
CCUACGUGAGGCAGCAGUGGGGGAUAUUGCACAAUGGGGGGAACCCUGAUGCAGCGACGCCGCGUGGGUGAAGAAGCGCCUCGGCGCGUAAAGCCCUGUCAGCAGGGAAGAAAAUGACGGUACCUGAAGAAGAAGCCCCGGCUAACUACGUGCCAGCAGCCGCGGUAAUACGUAGGGGGCAAACGUAAUCCGGAUUUACUGGGUGUAAAGGGGGCGCAGACGGCGAUGCAAGCCAGGAGGGAAAGCCCGGGGCCGACACCCGGGACUGCUCUUGGAACUGCGUGGGUGGAGUGCAGGAGGGGCAGGCGGAAUUCGUGGUGUAGCGGUGAAAUGCGUAGAUAGCAGGAGGAACAACGGUGGCGAAGGCGGCAUGCUGGACUGCAACUGACGUGGAGGCCCGAAAGCGUGGGGAGCAAACAGGAGUAGAUACCCCAGUAGUC